GUUGUGAUCUGUUGUGUUGUUGUUGGAUGUCUGAUGAUUGUCGCUUCAGUUCUGAUCUUCUGCAUCAACAGGAAACACAGAAACACACAUCAACAGGUUCAGAGCGGUGAAGAGGAAAUCACUUACACAGAAACAACUUUCCAUAAAAGACAAACACAUAAACAAAAAGUUCCAGUGGAGGAUGAUGUGAUGUAUGCAGGAGUCAAGAGACGAUGAUCAAACUCAGUUUAAACAUUAAGAUUAACUGAACUGUAAAAUAUCAAAAUCAUUGAAGAAAAUAUUAAAGUAUUUCUUAUAUUUUAUUUUUGUACUGAAUGCUUGUGACAGUUAAACAGAUUUACUUCUGGGUUAAAGUGAAUGCUGGUCUGGAAAGAAAUGUGGUUUUGUUCUGUUGCUAGACACAAGAUAUGAGUCUGUGUUUGACUAUUAGUGGCUAUGGUUGAUGUGUAUCUGUAAGAGUAUGUGAGACGGUUAACUGUGUGUGUAGUGUGUGGGAGAGAGAGAAAGAGAUCAAAUGAAGAUCAAAUGAAGUUGUUACUGGGGAAAGACAGACACCCAUCAGCUGAUGCUAAAUUUAUUUAUCAGUUACACACCAUCAGAAACAAACUACAGCCCUGAUCUUGUACUGUACUUUUAUUUUACCUCUCAUGUGCCUCCGUAAAUUUGUAUACUUCAAAUGUUUAUAAUUCGAAGUCUAUUUUAUAGUAUACAUAUAAUUUGACUUUUAUUUUAUAAUCCUUAUUUCCUUAAUGUUCGUUACUAUUGUGUUAUUGUAUGUUUUUUUGUUUUGUGAAAAAUGCUUUGGCAAUAUUGUAAUGAACUCACCUACUGACAAAAUGUACAGCUUAGUCACUUUAGAUAAAAGUUUUGGUAACACUUUACAAUAAGGCUCAUUAGUUAACAUUACUUAAUGCAGA